ensembl:antisense Ube4bos1 ubiquitination factor E4B, opposite strand 1
CUCUGAAACCCACCUGUAUAGAACUUCAUGAGGGACGGCACCAGCAGUUUGGUAGAGAGAGGAUGGUUCUCAAUCAUCUCAAAGAACUUCUGAGUUCUCGGCUGGACAGAAGGGUUGGUCAUGAACAUGACCUCCACCAGCUUGGCCACUAGCAUCAACAGUUCUGUGCUACUCUCAAGCAAAAUAUCUGUCUGCAACAUCUCAGAGGGCCGCCUGCCAGAGGAGACACACAGAGCCACAUCUCAGAGGGCCUCCUGCCAGAGGAGAGGCACAGAGGCCACAUCUCAGAGGGCCGCCUGCCAGAGGAGAGGCACAGAGGCCACAUCUCAGAGGGCCACCUGCCAGAGGAGACACACAGAGCCACAUCGUGCAAGUGGAUGUUGAGCUUCUUACAGACCCCUUAGUCACAACAAUGGAAUAUAAGGGAGGCUACAGAUCUGAAAGAAGAGCUCCGGUCAUUCUGCAUCCUGACGUUCGGAGCGACGAGGAUGAGAGGGCCAGGCCCACAUCACUCACAGAGCUCUGUCAGCCGCUCAUUCACAUCCUCCAUCGUUGCAUUUAUCCGUGUCUCAUCAUUCGGGAGAGUGAUCCGACAUCUUGGGUGGAAUAUGUAAGUGGGGUCAACUGUUUCUAACUUGAUUUUUGUACUUAGCUGCUGCAGGACCCAAAGGAGAUUCAGCAUAAACCCGUCUGUAGACACCAACCGAUCAUCUGCCUGUGACAUAAGACGUGAAGCAAUUGAAACAAUUGUUAGGCACACAUUUUGCAAAUCUAUGAAAGCACAUUCAAAUGUAACCAGGCCCUAAAGCCAGUGACAGGACACGUGGCUACCACUGUCAAUCAGCUAGCAGGUGCCAGCCCAGCAAGGUUCUACCUAUCCAUCACCACAGACUCACUGACCUCUGUAAUAACCCACAGUCCAUACACUAUAACUCACACUUCAGAGAAGAGUCAAUGAAUCGGUGUCAGUAAAACACAGCAACUGUAGCUUCCGUUUCCUUUCUUAUUUCUCAAGAGCAAUGAGCUGUCCUUAGCCCACAUGACAGCUUUCCCAUCUUACACAGUGAGUACAGCCCUGGCUGAAUGACAGAGGUUCAGGGAUCACGACACACUCAGAACGAUUCUAAUGGUCUACAUGUAAAAGGCUCACAAAUUAGUGGUCACUCUUAAACCCACUUAGCAAAUGAAGAAACUGAGGCACAGAGAAGUAACUAUCAGAUGUGGCCAACUUACCGACUACAUGUGGCAAAAGCCAGCUGUAAAUGUGGCCCAAUGUAAAACUAUAGACUUACACAGAACAUGAUGGAUUUUUGCACAUGACCUCUUUGACUGUGUAUUCUUGGCUGUUGAGUUAUGGGUGACACUACCAUGUGACAAUGUCAACAGAUGACAUACCAGAAUACUAAUGAGUGUCCAAAGACACUGGGAUUUUGCAAUUCUCCAUACUUUUAUUCUUUUGCUUCCAAGAUCUUACUAAAAACAGUCUACAGUUUUAACUUUCCCACUGUUACCAUGCACACUAGAGUCCUCAAGACUUCUUGGUGCUUCUUCAGGUCUGCUUCCAACCCCACACCUUGUCAUUUUGUGGCUGACACAUGUUUCCUUCUGUGGAUUCUACUAGAGUUCUCAUCAGUAAAAUAGACUCAAGAGCAUGUUACCUGCCCAUGUCCCCCGAGUCAAAGGAACUGUGUGUGCCGGGCUUGCAAUAAAGCUGGCUCAUUUCUAACCUAACACACGAUCACCAGGAGGGCUCUUUUCUCAGCCUUGUAAGGAGCCGCUCUUCAGUUGAAGCUUUAAUACGAGGCUGUUCUGCUGCCUGAUCAACAGCCACCCCUGUGCUGCCGUUCCGGCAUUUUACAAGUACGCCUGAAUCCUUCACACUUCCAUCAGCGACUACUACUGCCUGGAUGCUGUGCUUGCAUGGCCACCCCCUGCCUGAGACCUCGGGCUGCACAGAAGCAGGAUGCUUGCCCGUCUUGUUCUGUACUGCCUUCCCAACCCCCAGAACGCAGCCUGGGAGGCGCAAAGUCACAUCUGCACUGGAGAAACAGGUUUAAUGAGUAACUGAAAGCACUUGGGGACUCCUACCUGCAUCUGGGCUUUCUUCAUGUUGGCAUUGACAAGGGCCGCCAUGUAGCUGAGAGCCGCUUCACGAGUUUCGCCAUUUAACAAAAUACUAUGUAGAAUCUUGAAAAGUUCUUGCUAAAUUAUUUUCAAAAUGAAAAAA